GCGGCGGACGGGUGAGUAAUGCCUAGGAAUCUGCCUGGUAGUGGGGGAUAACGUUCGGAAACGGACGCUAAUACCGCAUACGUCCUACGGGAGAAAGCAGGGGACCUUCGGGCCUUGCGCUAUCAGAUGAGCCUAGGUCGGAUUAGCUAGUUGGUGGGGUAAUGGCUCACCAAGGCGACGAUCCGUAACUGGUCUGAGAGGAUGAUCAGUCACACUGGAACUGAGACACGGUCCAGACUCCUACGGGAGGCAGCAGUGGGGAAUAUUGGACAAUGGGCGAAAGCCUGAUCCAGCCAUGCCGCGUGUGUGAAGAAGGUCUUCGGAUUGUAAAGCACUUUAAGUUGGGAGGAAGGGCAGUUGCCUAAUACGUAACUGUUUUGACGUUACCGACAGAAUAAGCACCGGCUAACUCUGU
rnacentral:rRNA from 1 species